rnacentral:piRNA from 1 species
UCCCUUUCUGAACACCUUUGGUAGAUGGUC